rnacentral:lncRNA from 1 species
CGGAGAUGUGAUGGACCAGGAACUGGAUGGACAGACGUGGUCAGUCCAGACUGUCAGUUCUAUACUGUUUGCACAUGCUCAGUGUGAGCGUUUAAGGUAAGUUUGUGGCACUGCUUCAUCUGUGAGGUUCAUCUCUAGGAGCAACUGGAUUUAUAACUAGUUUGAUUUUCUUGCAUUAAUCGCUUCUUGUGACCAUUUACUGUAUACUACACGAUGUAUACUACACCAUGUAUACUACACCAUGUAUACUACACCAUGUAUACUACACCAUGUACACUACACCAUAUAUACUACACCAUGUACACUACACCAUGUACACUACACCAUAUAUACUACACCAUGUAUACUACACCAUAUACACUACACCAUGUACACUACACCAUAUAUACUACACCAUAUAUACUACACCAUGUACACUACACCAUGUACACUACACCAUGUAUACUACACCAUGUAUACUACACCAUGUAUACUACACCAUAUACACUACACCAUGUACACUACACCAUAUAUACUACACCAUGUAUACUACACCAUGUAUACUACACCAUGUAUACUACACCAUGUAUACUACACCAUGUACACUACACCAUAUAUACUACACCAUAUAUACUACACCAUGUAUACUACACCAUGUACACUACACCAUGUAUACUACACCAUAUAUACUACACCAUGUAUACUACACCAUGUAUACUACACCAUGUAUACUACACCAUAUACACUACACCAUGUACACUACACCAUGUAUACUACACCAUGUAUACUACACCAUGUAUACUACACCAUGUAUACUACACCAUGUAUGCUACACCAUGUACGCUACACCAUGUACACUACACCAUGUACACUACACCAUGUACACUACACCAUGUAUACUACACCAGGUAUACUACACCAGGUAUACUACACCAUGUAUACUACACCAUGUAUACUACACCAUGUAUACUACACCAUGUAUACUACACCAUGUAUACUACACCAUGUAUACUACACCAUGUAUACUACACCAUGUAUACUACACCAUGUAUACUACACCAUGUAAACUACACCAUGUAUACUACACCAUGUAUACUACACCAUGUAUACUACACCAUGUAUACUACACCAUGUAUACUACACCAUAUAUACUACACCAUGUACACUACACCAUGUAUACUACACCAUGUAUACUACACCAUGUAUACUACACCAUGUAUACUACACCAUAUUUACUACACCAUGUACACUACACCAUGUAUACUACACCAUGUACUGUAUAAUACACCAUAUAUACUACACCAUGUAUACUACACCACAUAUACUACAUCAUAUAUACUACACCAUGUACUGUAUACUACACCAUAUAUACCACACCAUAUACACUACACCAUGUAUACUACACCAUGUAUAAUACACCAUGUAUAAUACACCAUGUACUGUAUAAUACACCAUGUAUACUACACCAUGUAUAAUACACCAUGUACUGUAUAAUACACCAUGUAUAAUACACCAUGUACUGCAUAAUACACCAUGUAUACUACACCAUGUAUAAU